rnacentral:rRNA from 1 species
UACGUAGGUGGCAAGCGUUAUCCGGAUUUAUUGGGCGUAAAGGGAACGCAGGCGGUCUUUUAAGUCUGAUGUGAAAGCCUUCGGCUUAACCGGAGUAGUGCAUUGGAGACUGGGAGACUUGAGUGCAGAAGAGGAGAGUGGAAUUCCAUGUGUAGCGGUAAAAUGCGUAGAUAUAUGGAAGAACACCGGUGGCGAAAGCGGCUCUCUGGCCUGUAACUGACACUGAGGCUCGAAAGCGUGGGGAGCAAACAGG